rnacentral:misc_RNA from 1 species
AAAGUCGUAACAAGGUUUCCGUAGGUGAACCUGCGGAAGGAUCAUUAACGAAUCGUAAGGACUUGGCUGUCGCUGGCUCUCUCUGGGAGCAUGUGCACGCCCGGUUCAAACUUUUCAACUUUAACCUCCUGUGCACUCUUGUGGAUCGUAGACAGAUAAACUUUGUCAAAGUAACAUUUGGUUUUGGGGAUCGGAUUCAUUCCUUUCCUCUGCAUCUGUCCGCGGUUCAUGUCUUUAUUUACAAACUGUACAUUACAACCUAGAAUGCUUAACGAGUUGGGACUUUAGUGACCCUUCUUAAACUUUAUACAACUUUCAACAACGGAUCUCUUGGCUCUC